UCCUAGUAAGAGAAAAUCACGUUUUUUUGAAGAUAGGAGGCCUGGAUUUGAAUCUUGGUUACCAUUUCCUGUUUUUGAGACUUGCAUCAAGACGUUUGAACUCCCUGAUUCUCAGUUGCUUGCCUAAAAAGUGAGGGCUUUAAUAAUUAUCUCAUACUGUUAAGUAACAAAAUGCACCUUGUUAAGUCACUUGUCCCCAGUGGCCUUAUUGACUGAAUAGAAUCCAGAGCCUGGAUGUAUGAUACCUAGUUCUUUUUUCUCUUCCUAUCUAUUUGUGGUAUUUAUAGUUCUAGGCCUAAAAUGGCACUAAAUAGUCAUACUGAAUUUUUUUUGUCUGCCCAUCUCUUUUCCUGCCUCACAGGGACUUUUUACAAUGUGUCUAUUUUCAGAAGUAAGUGUUUUUAACAUAAUAUUAAGUUAUAUUCCAUCGAGAGUCUCUGGCCUUUGUAUAUCUUUGCUUUUCUAACAUUGAGGUUACAUUUUCACUUAUAUUCUUGCAUGAAAACCUACAGUUAUUUCUCUAGCUUCUUAAUUUAUAUAAUUAUAUUAUAUUUCAUAUCUUCCUUCAGUUGCUGUUAUUUAAUUUGAAUUCCCUUAAUUUUGAUUCAUGGCAUAGAAUUUUAUUUUCUCCUUACUCUAGCUCUUUUGUGUGUGUGAAUAUAGCAAAGCAUUUCUUCCCAGCCUUAUCUAAACUGUUUGAUUAGCUGCUAAUGUGAAAAAUCAUUAAUGGAGAAUUCAAACUGCUAAAAUAAAGAACUGAUGAAUUCCAGCCCAUAGGCCACAGUUCAGUCUUUUCAACUGAGUGCUUUUCCAGAGAAACAAAGAAAAAUCAAAAGUGCUCCAGGCACUGUGUGAAAUGUUCAGGGUAUUAUUAUAGCCUGUAAAAAGUUAAAUGUAGUUGAAAUAAAGACCUCUCUGCAGCAAAUAAUGUGGAGUAGCUGCUUUAGAAAACUAAAUAAGCAGUUUGCUAUAGCAACGGUGUAUCCAGCUCUAUAAUCUGACAGCCAUUUGUGAACUGUUCAAGGGUUACCUUUCUUUGAAUUACAAGAGUUUAUAAACUACUUACUUAGCAAGUUUAACAUGUGUGUUUGGAGGGGGACUGUGAUUUUCUCAUUUGAGAAAAGAUGUCAAUUUAUUUUAUUAUUUGCCCCAUGUAACCGUCAGGGACCAGCUGUUAGUUCCGUGAAGCUCCAGCCAUCCCAAGUGAAAGGAUUAGGACUGGUCAACCAAUCAUCUGAGUAAAUGAAUGUCCCUUGAUGCUGCCAGUUUAAACAUAUAGACGUCUGUUAAAAAACAUCACAAUGAUUUUAAAUGAACUGGUCAGGCCUAUUAUGUAGUGAUUAAUUCCUUUAAAGCUACAUUCUUCCUAAGAAUUCUGGGUUUUUCUUAUUUGUUAUUUACAUUAUGGAAGUAAAUUACUACAUUUAAAUGAGCUGUAUAUAUAAGUAGAGUGUUUUAUCUUUGGAUUUUGUUAUGUUUUGUUAGCUUUGUGUCAUUUUUUACUUUGUUUUUGAGGGGUGGUAGUUAAAUGAACAGAUUCUCUAAUCAGUAAAUUCUAGAAUUUGUGUUAUCACUGAUAUUCUUAACAGUGAAAGUAUAGUAAUAAUAUGAAUAAUAAUCAUAAAGCUAUGGAAAAGUAGCUAGUCUUAAGCAAACAUAAAAUGCCCUUUAUACAUAUAGAUGACAUGAGUGUAAUUUGUGAUAGCAAACGAAACCUAAAAAGACCCAGAUAAUUAGUUGUUACAUUGUAACAAGAUACUGGGAAAGAUAUCUUGAUAUGUUGCAAGACAAUUUUUUUUAAGGAUCCAACUUUUAAUUGUAAAUAUCUGAACUUUGGGAGGUGGAGUUGGGAGAAUUGCUUGAGCCCAGAAGUUCAAGAUCAGCCUGGUCAAUAUAGGGAGACCCCCAUCUCAACAAAAAAUAAAUUAUCUAGGCAUGGUGGUGUGCACCUGUGGUCCCAGCUACACUCAUGAGGCUGAGAUGGGAGGAUCACAUGAGUCUGGUAGGUUGAGGCUCCCAUGAGCCGUGAUCAUGCCACUGCACUCCAACCUGAGCAACAGAGACCCUGUCUCAAAAAAAAAAAUUACUCUGAUUUACUUACUCUGUCUUAUUUUGUUUGUUCCUUAUUUUUCUUCCCAUUCCUUCAUUUGCUAUUUUUCUUCUCAUUCCUUCAUUUGCUAUGUCAAAAUUUUCUAUUACAACACCAAAAAGUGGAUAAUGAAAUAGAAUUAGAUGAUCCUCAAAUUAGUUAAUUUUACUAUUUGCUGCCACCACUGGAAACUUGAAAGUUCUAUAUUAUGAAUAUAAAUGUCCAUACAGAAACAGUGUUUGUGGCAGCACAAUAUCAAUUACUUGACACAUUUUUUUCUACAUUUGUGUGCAGUGCAGAACAAUGCCAUUGAUAGAGGAUGUUUUUCACUUACCUACUUAUCAACUGCAACAUUUCCAUUUGACCUGACUGGCACAAGGACUGUGGGUCUGUUAUUUAUAUUUACUCCUUAAUGCAGCUUGUUUUCUUGGAAGCCAAGCCCAGCAUUUCAGGUCUGUGACUCUGAGACUCUAAUCUUACAUGGCUGUCAGUGAGUAAUUUAACCUAUAGUUUACACUUUGAAAUAUUUGAGCAUCUAGAGAAAUAAUCUGGACCUAUAAGAAAUGCUUUAAGUUACAGAAGUUCAGUGUAUGCUCCUGGAGAGGGAGGGAAACCUUUUUACUUUCUCCUCAUCAAUAAAUUGUAGGAGUGCUAUUUCCUAAAAUAAUAUGACCAGAGAUUUAGGAAUGAUGGUGAAUAUUUAC
rnacentral:lncRNA from 10 species